UACGAAGGGGGCUAGCGUUGCUCGGAAUCACUGGGCGUAAAGCGCACGUAGGCGGAUUGUUAAGUCGGGGGUGAAAUCCUGGAGCUCAACUCCAGAACUGCCUUUGAUACUGGCGAUCUCGAGUCCGGGAGAGGUGAGUGGAACUGCGAGUGUAGAGGUGAAAUUCGUAGAUAUUCGCAAGAACACCAGUGGCGAAGGCGGCUCACUGGCCCGGUACUGACGCUGAGGUGCGAAAGCGUGGGGAGCAAACAGG
rnacentral:rRNA from 1 species